CAAAGUGUAGCUUAUACUAAAGCACCCGGCUUACACCCAGGAGAUACCACACAACAGUGGCCGCUUUGA
rnacentral:tRNA from 1 species